UACGAGGGGGGCGAGCGUUGUUCGGAAUUAUUGGGCGUAAAGGGUGCGUAGGCGGUUUGGUAAGUCUGAUGUGAAAUCUAUGGGCUCAACUCAUAGUCUGCAUCGGAAACUGCCGGGCUUGAGUGUGGGAGAGGUGAGUGGAAUUCCUGGUGUAGCGGUGAAAUGCGUAGAUAUCAGGAGGAACACCUGUAGCGAAAGCGGCUCACUGGACCAUAACUGACGCUGAUGCACGAAAGCUAGGGGAGCAAACAGG
rnacentral:rRNA from 1 species